GAGGCAUCUCCUGUGGGUGGAAAGAACUUCGGUCAAGGAUGAGCUCGCGGCCUAUCAGCUUGUUGGUGAGGUAAUGGCUCACCAAGGCGACGACGGGUAGCCGGCCUGAGAGGGUGACCGGCCACACUGGGACUGAGACACGGCCCAGACUCCUACGGGAGGCAGCAGUGGGGAAUAUUGCACAAUGGGCGCAAGCCUGAUGCAGCAACGCCGCGUGAGGGACGACGGCCUUCGGGUUGUAAACCUCUUUUAGCAGGGAAGAAGCGAGAGUGACGGUACCUGCAGAAAAAGCACCGGCUAACUACGUGCCAGCAGCCGCGGUAAUACGUAGGGUGCAAGCGUUGUCCGGAAUUAUUGGGCGUAAAGAGCUCGUAGGCGGUCUGUCGCGUCUGCUGUGAAAACCCGAGGCUCAACCUCGGGCUUGCAGUGGGUACGGGCAGACUAGAGUGCGGUAGGGGAGAUUGGAAUUCCUGGUGUAGCGGUGGAAUGCGCAGAUAUCAGGAGGAACACCGAUGGCGAAGGCAGAUCUCUGGGCCGUAACUGACGCUGAGGAGCGAAAGCGUGGGGAGCAAACAGGCUUAGAUACCCUGGUAGUCCACGCCGUAAACGUUGGGAACUAGAUGUGGGGACCAUUCCACGGUCUCCGUGUCGUAGCUAACGCAUUAAGUUCCCCGCCUGGGGAGUACGGCCGCAAGGCUAAAACUCAAAGGAAUUGACGGGGGCCCGCACAAGCGGCGGAGCAUGCGGAUUAAUUCGAUGCAACGCGAAGAACCUUACCAAGGCUUGACAUAUACGAGAACGCGCUGGAGACAGCGAACUCUUUGGACACUCGUAUACAGGUGGUGCAUGGUUGUCGUCAGCUCGUGUCGUGAGAUGUUGGGUUAAGUCCCGCAACGAGCGCAACCCUCGUCCUAUGUUGCCAGCACGUCAUGGUGGGAACUCAUGGGAUACUGCCGGGGUCAACUCGGAGGAAGGUGGGGAUGAGGUCAAAUCAUCAUGCCCCUUAUGUCUUGGGCUUCACGCAUGCUACAAUGGCCGGUACAAUGGGCUGCGAUACCGUAAGGUGGAGCGAAUCCCAAAAAGCCGGUCUCAGUUCGGAUUGAGGUCUGCAACUCGACCUCAUGAAGUCGGAGUCGCUAGUA
rnacentral:rRNA from 1 species